GCCAUGCGGGGCGCCGCGAUGUUGUUCCUGGCGCUGGGCGCUGCGUUGCUGCUGGUGGGCGGCGGGCGGCGCCUGGCCCGCCACCUCCUCCUCCUCCUGCUGCCGUGGCGGGCCCACCGCGCCCUGCCCGCUGAAGGGAAGGCGGUGCUAAUCACAGGCUGUGACAAAGGUUUUGGACAUGCCUUGGCAAAACUGCUUCAUACAAAGGGAUUUACUGUUUUUGCUGGAUGCUUGCUCGCGGAUGAGAAUGGAGAGGGAGCCAGGGAACUGAAGAACGUGAAGUCAGAUCGCAUGAAGGUGCUACAGAUGGAUGUGUGCAGUGACCAGGAGGUGGCUCAGGCUGUGGAUUUUGUGAAGAGGACCCUGAAGGAGCCAGAGGAAGGUCUGUGGGGCCUGGUGAACAAUGCUGGUAUCUCGACCUUCGGAGAGGUGGAAUUUGCAAGUUUAGACAACUACAAGAAGGUGGCAGAGAUCAACCUGUGGGGCACCGUGAGGGUGACGAAGGCUUUCCUGCCUCUCAUUCGCAGAGCUAAAGGCCGUGUGGUGAAUAUCACAAGCAUGUUGGGACGGAUGGUGAGUCCAUCUCGCUCCUGCUAUUGCAUUUCCAAGUUCGGGGUGGCAGCCUUCUCUGAGUGCCUCCGGCAGGAGAUGUACCGCUGGGGUGUCAGAGUCAUCCUCAUUGAGCCCAGUAACUUCGUGGCAGCAACAGGCAUCCUGACAGCAGACGGCAUCGACAAACAGGCUGAGGCACUGUGGAACGGAGCCAGCAACGCUGUGCAGGUGGACUAUGGGAGGGAAUAUUUCACUCACCACGUGGCCCUGAUGAAGUCCUUUAUUAACAGUGGCCUGAAGGACAUGUCUCUGGUCUUGAAUGACAUCACCGAUGCGCUCACUUCCCCGUACCCAAAGAACCGUUACAAUCCCAUGGAGACCUACUGGUGGGUGAGGCUGCAAGUCAUGACUCACCUGCCCACUGCCAUUGCCGACUGGCUUUAUGUCCCCGGAGCCACCCUGUAAAUGGCCAUCCUUCAGGCAUCCUUCCAGUGCUCAUACGUACGCACAGAUCAUCAGCACAUGGAGAUCGCCUGGGAUCCAGGACUCGGAACAAUCCCACUGAACUGCAGCUUAGACAAGCGUUGUAAUCACUUCUGCCCCCUGCACUGUGAAAUGACCUGGCAGGUGAUGUGAAGAGCUGUGAAGUUUCCCAGCCCUCGCCAGCUCCAGCACACAGGUGGAGCAGCUCUGGUCACCUGAAAGUCUGGCAGAUCUUCCUUCACUGUGUUUGCCAAAGCACCAAUAAAAGUCGAAACAGGUAAAAUGAAAGAAAGAAUUUCCGCUUUGAUUGUAGAAAGGACAUUCGGCAGAGUAACCAGGUAAGAGCUGGUCUGUUUUCAUGGUAUAAUGGAAAAACUUCUGCCUAGGACUGAGAUCCAGCAGUUCUGGUCCUGGCCCUGCCACUGGCUCACUAAGCAUCCUGAACAAACCAGUCUGCCUGCACCAAGCUCCUUUACCAUCCCAGCCAUCCUUGCCGCUACCCUGCCCAUGCUGGAAAGCGGAAAACCAAAAAGUAUACAUUGCAGUGCAAUGCAGUGCUGUUUGACUCAUCCUGUUGUUACAACUGAGGCCAGAAUAGGUGUUAUCCCCCUGUCCGCAGGCUGAAUUACUUUUUGUGGCAGAAUAGAAAAUGUGGCGUCUCCGGUUUUCUGUGUGAAAGCUGCUACAAGUGGCUUACAAAGUCUUCUGAACUUUUAUAGCUUCAGGAAGGAAGGUGCCAGGGUUGAGGGCAGACAUUAACGCCGUUGUGUUGCUUUUAAACGGGCACCAAGGUUAACCAUCACCCCACAGGCACCUUGCCCAGGGACCUUGGACUGCAGCUUGGGGGAAAGCUCUACAUUGCUUUUUCCUGCAUAACUGCAGGGCCUCCCUGCCAGAGCGAUCCUGCCCCCCCGGGGUGGUACCUGUCACCUUGUGGGGUCAAGUGCUGUAGGAGAAGUCAUUUUCCUGGUGGGACUUUAACCAGGGUUACUAUGACAAUCAGUCAGCAGGCUGCCAGCACCGUGUGUCCUUGCAUUUCCUUCCUGGUUUCUGCCUGCUCAGGGGUGUUGAAGCAUUUGGAGCACAGCAAAGCACUUUCCCUUUCCACCACUAAUGAGAUGCAGCCGUUGCUCCAGGAAGCAUGACUAACGAGGGACUGGAGGGAGAGGGAAUGCACCCUGAUAAGGCCCCACAGCUCCAUCACCUACUGCAGGAAGGGAGGUGGCGGUGCCUGCAUCCCACUGGAGACAUCCAGUGGGUGUUUGGAGUACGGCUAUAUGGCUCUUCCUAUAGAAAGUAGUGCAUGAACGCUUGUGCUUGUGCAGGUGCUUGCCCUGGCAGCCCUCCAGAGCAGAAGAUGGAGAUCCAGUGCUCUAACACAGCCGAGGUGCGCUUUGAUAUUGGGAAAGUGCCUGCAGAAAAUCUGCCUGGGCACUUGGGAAAGGCUUCGAGGUGGCAAUGGCCAUCUUUAAAGAGGAUGAGACAGUGCAGGGGCUUGGCUCUGUGGCACGGCUCUGUGACACGAGGUGGCUUAGAGGAGGUGUAGGAUGGAGUCAUCCGGUGGGUGCAGUGGUCUGUCUGUCCCAACCAGCGACUCCAGCACUGAGUUUUCUUGGGGCAAGCACUGGUGUGGGAAUGGUGGUGGUGCUUUUACUGGGAGCUGCUGCCCACCACAUGCACACGCAGGAAGCACCUCUCCUCCCCACUUCCUCACGUACUCUCAGCCCCCACAUGAAGUCCCAACCUCAUCCCCUCCUUCCACAUACUCUUUUGCUGCCUGCCUUUAUCGACAAGCGAGUCCCUGAGACUCUGUAUCCCCAAGAGCACAUCUGGACCCUAUUUUCACACCACUGGCAUUUUCCACCCCCUGAGCCAUGCAGGAGCUGCCUGGUUCCCUCAAGCUUUGGGGACACCCAUACCAGGUGGCCUCUGCCCAGCUGCAGCACCGGCAGGAGCAGGAAGCCCCCAGCUUCCCAGGGACCGGCACUCAGCACGGCCGGGUCUGGCUCCUGGUUCGGGCAGCUCCUGGUUCGGGCAGGGCCAGGAGCCGGCUUCCAGCUCUGCCUGCGCACGGGCACUUACAGACCCAACUUCAGCGCCAGGCUGCUCUAUCGCAUCCCGAGGAAGCUCCUCCACUCCCGUACAUCUGCCCUGGCACGGGAAGCUUUUGCUCUGUUCCAUGGGUAAUAACCAUUUCGCAAGCAUAAUUAUGGCUGGGAAUGUAUGAUAUGACAUCUGUUUUGAGAAAAAUUCAAAUUAAUUGGAUAAAGCAUCCGUUGUCUCACCCCAAGUCUCUUCACACUAAAAUACAUGCCUGGUUAGUAUCCCUGGGGUGCAGCACAGACAAAAGCAUUUUUAGCACUGUCUGAAGUAAUCAUUCCUAAAAUCUAACUUGUUUGAAUGAAACUCGCUGUGAGUGGCAUCUCUGUGCCGUUUCAGACUGUAACUACGUAUAGAAACAAAGUCAGAGCAUUGACCACUGAAUUUAUUUAUUUUCUGUAUAAUGUAAACUCCAGUCUAGCAAACACUUAGGCCUGUGUUUCAAAGCAAGGCGUGUGUGCUCGGGCUCGGCGGCCUCAGUGCGGCUAUUCAUGGGCAAAGCCGAACACAUAUGCCAGUGUCUUUGCGCUCUGCAGCCCGUGCGGAGGGAUGCGACUUGCGCUUUCAGAAAGGAGAUUCUUAAAAUUCUCCUCUGGCUUGUGGUAUAAGAUGGGGCGGCUCAGAGACGGGGGUUGGAAAUGCUGUGCCGGCUGGUGGAGAAGUCCAUCAGGGCCAAAGUGCUGCCCUCAGAUCUUCCUGGUGCAUAUAUAAAACGUAUAUAAAACAGCCUUGCAGCCUAGGAAUGGGGGGUAUCUGAGGGUCUGAGGCCACCCCCAAACUCUGUGUGUGAUUCUGGGUAGCUGAUGCGAGUUGCUGACUUGAAGCGAAGUGCUCCCGCAGCAGGAGAGCCCACGUCCCUGCCGAAGGGCUCUGCGCUCGGCUGGCAGGAUGGCAUAAUCUGCAGGAGGUUUCUUAAUUGCAUUUCUUAAUGCAAUAGUCUGUUCUCUCUUCCUGUGAGCAGAGCUGCAGUUACCCGUACAUUAUAAAUCUAUGUUGCGAGGAACAUGUAGGUUGUAUAUAGGUCAUAGAAAAUAUAAUUGUGUAACUGUAUUAAUGCAUUCCUGAGCUAAGGUGCUGAAAUAUGGUUUAGCUGCAGAAAAUAGGGCUGUGAGCUUUAAAUAGCCCUACUUGGGCAUCCCGUGGACAGAGCUGACGAUGCCGUGAACUGUGAACUGUGCCUCCUCCAGGAGAGCAGAAAGUCCCUUUGCAGAAGGUGCUCUCUAAGUAUGUUUAAUGACAUUUUUUAAAGCGUUUAAAAUAUGUUUCAGUGUGCUCCAUUCCAACUCACAGCCCAGCCGGCAUUCACUGCUGGACCACGGGAGCCUGACAUCGGACGGACGGCGGGAUCUGCUCCCGCAUCCCCUGGAGAAGUCCUACUCUGCCCCCUUCUGCCACGCGCUUCCUCGCUCCUCUCCGUGAGAACCACGCCUGGCUGAACGCCUGCCCGGUACCUUGUGCAACUGUCAUAACUCAGCAGCAAAACACAAUGACAAUUUUUUUUUUUUUUGCCUUAUUUAGCAGCAUAAGGCUGACCUUGGUGUGGGGCACUUCUGGGACAUACUGAAAAACCAGGAUUAAAAACUCUGGGUUUUAUGAAAAGUAAGGAUCCCUCUGGCCCCUCUCUCCAGGGACUUGGACCUCAGCAGCAGUGCCAAGUGGGUCGGGGCGUCCUCCUGGGAGCCCAGCCAGAACCGCUGCUGGUCCUGCAAGACAGGGUUUGUCCCUUAAAUAAUAUCUUUUUUAG